GGGCCAUAGUUUGGUGGUAGAUAAUCUGCUUUGCAUGCUGAAGGUCCCAGGUUCAAUUCCUGCCAUCUUCA